rnacentral:rRNA from 1 species
UACGUAGGGUGCGAGCGUUAAUCGGAAUUACUGGGCGUAAAGCGUGCGCAGGCGGUUUUGUAAGCCAGAUGUAGAAACGCCCGGGCUUAACCUGGGAAUGGCAUUUGGGACUGCAAGGCUUGAGUGCGGCAGAGGGAGACUGGAAUUCCCGGUGUAGCAGUAGAAAUGCGUAGAUAUCGGGAGGAAUACCGAUGGCGAAGGCAGGUCCUCGUGGGCUGACACUGACGCUCAUG